GUGCUCUGUCCAACACAGGGAGGGGACAGUCAGACAGGAGAGGGUGCAGGGCUGACGGGAUCUGGCUACAUGUCCAAGACAGGCCCGCGGUGACAGCUAAAAGUGAAGGAAGUGACAGCACAGGGAAUGGUCAUCAUCCCAGGGAGAGAGAUGGGAGAGGAGACCAAAGAGUGACAGCCUGGGAAUAGGAGGGAGUGCAUCAGUCUUUAUCACUAGGGGAAGUGACAGCAAUGACAAUAGAUACCGUGUGGAAUGUGAAAGCUAGGCAGAAAGAG